ACAGUUAUUCAAUUAACCAGACAAUAAUAUAAAUUAAAACAAAACCAACCUCAUUUAAAAUAUCCAUGCUGGCCAUUUUGAAAAAGCAAACUUAUAUCACUUUUAAAAAACGAAUAACCCAACUGACUAUUGAUUUGGUUCGCGCCUUUUCUGCGUUUCACAGUAAACUGAUUUAACAUGAGGUUCGAACGAACUUAUAUUUAGUUUGUACAAGAUACGGUUAUCUCGAAUUGAGUUUGUAUCGCCAAACGUAACAUGAACCGACUUGAGUGACACAAGUACAAUAAAUGCAGGCCUGAUGAAAAUGGACAAAUGAAACAUGGUCAGUCGGGUCAUUUCUACGGAAUCUAAUGCUAGUGGCCAAAGUCGUGCGUGACUUACAAUCAAGAGAACCCGGGUUUAAAUUCGGAGACUAUGUUUACAUUUUAAUGCAGUCCUAAAAUUGUAUGAAUCGCGUCACUGAGGGCUAUAUCAUCGACUAUUCAACAAGGAGUACUAUAUUACCAUAAAAUAACUCGUGAACUAGCAACACGCUGUACCACCAGCAAUCGAUCUUGGGCAAGCUGUGGCUAGGUGCGUACGAUAUAAGCCCGCAAGAAUCCGCCACAUCCUGCCAAUUUCUACUACAAGUGGUGGUAGGACCUCUUGUGAGUCCGCACGGGUAGGUACCACCACCCCGCCUAUUUCCGCCAUGAAGCAGUAAUGCGUUUCGGUUCGAAGGGUGGGGUAGCCGUUGUAACUAUACUGAGACCUUAGAACUUAUAUCUCGAGAUGGGUGGCGCAUUUACGUUGUAGAUGUCUAUGGGCUCCAGUAACCACCCACCAGGUGGGCUGUGAGCUAGUCCACCCAUCUAAGCAAUAAAAAAAAAAAGCACCGUACAAUACAACUAUUACAAACACACUACAAAACUUCGUUCGAAGCUACCUAUAAUACAUUACAAUGCAGUAACUAUAAUUAAAACUAUUUUAUCAAAUACAGUAUUCAAAUGUCGCCGAAUUAAACCUUAGUCAUAAAGUACUCGUAUAGGAAACCGAAAAUCAAUAUAAUGAAAAUAAAAAAACGUCAAAAUUAAAUUGUAAAA